GACCUCAAAUCAGGUAGACUACCCGCUGA
rnacentral:rRNA from 1 species